rnacentral:misc_RNA from 1 species
CGCAUCUGUCUCCACCGAUAAGGCACCUUCAAACUCAGUGACCAGCGUCCUAUCUUACCUCCGGCUCCGCCCCUGAGAAACCGCAGCAUCAAAAGCCGGUUGCAGCGAGCGCCUCCCUCCAGACGGCAGCACCAUGUCGCCCCUUGCCACCGUAGUUCUCCUUCUCACCGCCAGGGCGGCGCUGCUGUGCCCGGACUCAAACUGGGUUGCCACGGGAGACGGCGAUUGUUAUUUGCCGCUGCCCGGAGAUCUCUUCAAAACUACCGCAGAAGAUGCAGAAGUGGCCUGUCGUGAUUUUGAGCCGACUGCAACGCUGCCAGAAGUACACAACUACGAGGACCAGCUCACGCUCGACCAGCUAGCUGACGGCCUGGCCGUCUGGCUGGGCCUCUACCGCGACUCCGAGUACGACCCCUGGUUCUGGCCGAGUUCCAACGUCUCCUACUACCGCUGGGCCACCGACAACCCCGACGAAGACAUCUUCCUCGGAGACUGCGCCUACACCAAGGACAGCUACUGGUACAACAUGGACUGUGUCAACUCGACCUUCAGCGUCGUCUGCUUCACCACUGAUGAAGCGCUGGAGGAAUAGGAUGCAGCUGCUGAAGAGAGCUUGUCGAUGCCGGAUUUAGUCUAGAGUCUAGUUUGUUGGAGUCGUGGUUUGUAGGAUGGAACAAUGAAGCAUGGCAUGGCGUUUGUAGAUUCGCAGGAUGAAUUAUGAAAGGACGAAAAUGGGGUGGGGUUGUCGAUAUGACAGCGUUAGGUAGAAGCAGUGGUUGGCGCUGUAUGGUGUUUUGAGCAUUGAGCUAUUCAUCGCACGUGAAAUUUAGGUGAUCCAUACGUUAUAAAACAAAAUAUAAAGUGUUCACGGGCGGCCUAUGUCAUCACGUGCCAUCACUUGUCGUAUCCCCACGGCCCGGUUUUCUGAGACGUUAAUGUCAAAAUAGAAAUUUUUAAGCAACUGAAACUAGGGUAUACAGUUUGAAGAAGCGUUGGAAGCGACUUGACUUCAGGCUUGGUUUAAAAUUAAUUGAAAUUGAUCCUGUUGGUAGUGAUGAGAGAUGUUCUGCAAUAUGUUUUGCUCCUUUUUUUAACGAUUUGUUGCCGACCUUGU